rnacentral:rRNA from 1 species
GAAUUAAAGGCAACGGUGCCCAGUGAAAAAUUUAACGGCCGCGGUACCCUAACCGUGCAAAGGUAGCAUAAUCAUUUGUCUAUUAAUUGUAGACCAGUAUGAAAGGCAAAAUGAGAGCCCAACUGUCUCUUAUAAUAAAUCAAUUAAACUGAUCUCCUAGUACAAAAGCUAGAAUACUAACAUAAGACCAGAAGACCCUGAGAAGCUUUAACUAAACUAUUAAACCUAAUAAUAACUACUUUCGGUUGGGGCGACCUUGGAAUAAAAAAGAACUUCCAACACAUGAGGACUUGGUGAUUAAACAGGCAAACAGGCCAACACUAGACCAGCAUAGCUGAUAAUUGAAAUAAGUUACUCCAGGGAUAACAGCGCUAUCUUCUUCAAGAGCCCAUAUCAAAAAGAAGGUUUACGACCUCGAUGUUGGAUCAGGACAUCCUAGUAAUGCAGCCGUUACUAAAGGUUCGUUUGUUCAAUGAUUAACAGUCCCAUGUGAUCUGAG